rnacentral:rRNA from 1 species
UACAGAGGUGGCAAGCGUUGUUCGGAAUUACUGGGCGUAAAGGGCGCGUAGGCGGUUCGUUAAGUCCUGUGUGAAAUCCCUCGGCUUAACCGGGGAACUGCGUCUGAUACUGGUUGGCUUGAAUCCGGGAGAGGGAUGUGGAAUUCCAGGUGUAGCGGUGAAAUGCGUAGAUAUCUGGAGGAACACCGGUGGCGAAGGCGGCAUCCUGGACCGGUAUUGACGCUGAGGAGCGAAAGCCAGGGGAGCAAACGGG